rnacentral:rRNA from 1 species
UACGUAGGUGGCGAGCGUUGUCCGGAUUUACUGGGCGUAAAGGGAGCGUAGGCGGACUUUUAAGUGAGAUGUGAAAUACCCGGGCUCAACUUGGGUGCUGCAUUUCAAACUGGAAGUCUAGAGUGCAGGAGAGGAGAAUGGAAUUCCUAGUGUAGCGGUGAAAUGCGUAGAGAUUAGGAAGAACACCAGUGGCGAAGGCGAUUCUCUGGACUGUAACUGACGCUGAGGCUCGAAAGCGUGGGGAGGCAAACAGGAUUAGAUACCCCU